CCUUGUUGUCUCAGCUGCUGUUCUUUUUAUCACUUGAUUCAGUUUCUCCCUGGCCACAGCUGAUUGGACUUAACCAUAGCAGCUGAUUGGACUUACCGUACCAGCACAGAGAUAAGCUGAGCCAAUCAGGGUCUUGCUUGGGUGAAUAGAAAUGAAGAAACACAAAAGAAAGCUGCCAAUUGGAUAUGGGUAUUGUAGCUGAAACGUCUUGCGAGCUGAGUCAGGGUCGGGGAAGCUGUGAUGGCAAUGAGAAGUCAACACACUGAGGAUGGAGAGAAAGAAGAUGAGUCUGGGAGAGAAAGAGAAUGAUUCUUCUGGCCGAGGGAAAGCAAGAAUAUCUGUUCCUGCAACUGCACUGAUUCUAGAAACACUCUCUAUUCGAACUCUCAUGAGCUGAAAUUAUUAACAUGGGAAUAUCACUAGCAUUUUUCCCAUAGAUGGACCGAAAAUGCUGACGCCAAUGCCAAGGAAAAAAGUGUCUUGAAAAAGCAGCCGUGGACGUGGAGUUACCAAAUCAUCCGAAGUGGCUCCUGGACCGGGUGGAGGAGCCAGGCUGCAGAAAUGCAGUUCAUCGCAGGAGUUUUCCUGAACAGAGAAAAGUCUCCACAGAAUAGCAAAAAUAGCAAAAACUCGAAGUCAAGGGUCUUGAGGUCUAAAUUUUCUGUGUGACCCCAGGGAAAUCGUUUCAUCUUUCUAGGUCUUCACAUCCUCACCUGAAAAAUAAAGUGCUUGGCUAAGAAAGGCUUGAGGUUUUAUUUGGCUCAUUCUGUGGUUCUCUAGGUCAGUGUUUUUAAAGCUUCCUCACGUAUCUGCUGCGUUCAGGAGCCUCAGUCCCAAAGAGUCAGUAUUGGGUGGUAACUGCACUUUUCAGUGAGACUCUCAUGUUCCACACUAGGCCCCCAAGGAUGCUUCUGCAGGUAAUCCAUGCUGAGAAAAUCUGCAAAGUCUUUCCAGCCUGGUCCAGUCCACACUUGUUUUGCCCUUUCCAACUCUAGACUAUUGAUUCCUGGAGGACGAAGAACUAUUUUUAGCCUUCUUUUUCUGCACUGAGUCUCAGGCAGUGUCAGACUUACUUAUUUUAGGAAAUCUUUAUUGAGACCUCCUGGAUGCCAGGUAUUGGGGUCACAAAGACAAAAGUUCCCUUAAGGAUUACUGUCCAAUUGGAAGGACAUACAUGCAAAUGAAUAUAUGCCUGGAAAUUUGUUGAUUGAUUAAAUGGGCAUUUAAUAUAUUUUUUUCAAACCCAGAGACCUAAAUAUUUACUGAUCUUUCCCUACCAUCCCAUUAAAUAACAGUUCUCCAGGAUCUUUGAAGGAAUAUAAGCUCAUGGAAGGGCAGAGAUCAUAUCAGUCAUUCUCAUCCUUUUAUAGGUACUUUUGUUAAGAGUCAACUGUGGCACAGAUCAUUACUUUACCUAGAUCUUAAUCCUAACAACAAUAUUUUUAUGGAGAAGGAAACUGAGGCUCAGUGAGGCUAAGCCAUCUGGCCAAGGUCAUACAAUAAGAGGCAGAGCUCAGAGUGGAACCCAGUGUGAUAUAUCAAAAUACAGUCUACACAUCUUUCUUCCAAAGCAUUUUUCCUGUAGCAAUUAAGUGUGCCUGUAACUUUUCAGCUAACCUCCAGAAAGUUAAGAUGGCUGUGUCUUUUAUAAGAUGUAAUUAUUUGAGAAACAAGUGACUAAAACUUGCAAAAUCUGCAGGGAAGAACUUCUAGGCUCUUUGGAGUUUUUUUGCCCUGCACCAACAUCCUCUCAAAGGCAAGGAACAGCAAUUAUGAUAAAAGAGACCAGAAAGUGAAAGGAAUAAACAAUGUAGCGAUUGCUCUGGGAAAACUAUAGCUCAUUUUUAUUUUGAUAAUGACCUCUAAUCUUCCCAGGGGAAUUUUGAGCAUGUAUCUUAUCUUAAAACAUUUUUUUGAACUUUGGCACUUUUAUUGCCUUUACAAGAACAGCUAUGAUUAAGGGAUGACUCUCUUAGUUGCAAUGGAUGAAACAAUUAAAUGUGUUUACCUGCUGACAUUCCAAACCACUUCUUGAUAGGAAACAAAGGUGUGAAACAGCUCUGGUGUUUAUGUGAACAUAAUUUUUUUCUAAAUAUUAUUUUUUUUUUGUUUUGCACCCUGCUUAGAAUGUACUUUUGAUUUUCUUGAGUUUAGAUGAAGUUGACAAUCAUGAUGUAAAGCCAGAUCGAAAUAGAAUUCCUGUUGCCAUUUUAAGUUUAUAAUGUUUAACUACCUAAUAAUGGCUGGAAAUUAAGUCUGGAAUCACACCCAAGUUAUACUACAUAUUCAAUCAGGCUGAAUUUGACGUUAAUGAUAUGACUAGGAGGAGCUAGGAAACAAAUUCUUUUUUUUUUUUUUUUUUUUUUUUUCUCAUUUCAUGAGGCACCCUAUACCAGCAGUAAAAUGUUUCUUAAAUCAGAGGAAAGAAUUGACCUUACAGUUUCCUUUUUUUUCUGAGAUGGAGUCUCACUCUGUCUCCCAGGCUGGAGUGCAGUGGUGCAAUCUCGGCUCACUGCAACCUCCGCCUCCCGGGUUCAAGCGAUUCUCCUACUUCAGCCUCCCAAGUAGCUGGGAUUACAUGUGUGUGCCACCACAGCCAGCUACUUUUUGUAUUCUUAGUAGAGACAGGGUUUCGCCAUGUUGGCUAUGCUGGUCUCAAACUCCCAACCUCAGGUGAUCCGCCAGUCUUGGCCUCCCAAAGUGCUGGCAUUACAGGUAUGAGCCACUGCGCCCGGCCAGUUACUUUUAAAACUUGAUCUAGAACGCUCUUGAUUUUGGAAUUAUAAUGCUUAAUAUUUUCCUCAAUUAUGACUGCCCAGAUUUAGCCAAGGGCAAUUAGAAGAGGAAAGACUGACUUCAUCUUGACCCCUGGGGCCAGAGCUACUAUAGCAAGGCCAACUUCAACCCGUAUGGAAGAUGUGGCUGCUGAGAGCUUCCUAUAGAGCCCCUGACAUAGGAUAAAGGGAAAAUAUGUCUGUUUUAAAUCAUACUAACAUUGUGAUAAAGUAAUAUUAUGUCCUUUGAAGGACCUAAAAUAGUGCUAAAUUGUAUCAUGACCAAGAAACAUUUGUUUAGCAUUUACUCUGUGCCAGGCACUAAACUAGGUAUGAAGGAUAUAAAACUAAAUAAGGUGUAAUGUUUGUCUUCAAAGAGUUUCUUUAUCCUGCAAGAAAUUAGAGAUGGCUAAAUUUAAAAAAAUUUUUAUUAAUGUAUUUUUAAUUUUUUUUUUAAUUCAUAAAAUCCAGAUCCUGCACAAGAUAGCUGGACUUCUCUAAGGAAUCAGAAUUACAAGGAAAACAUAUUGAUUUUAUCCCUUUGUUAGUGAAAAUAAUACAUUCAGAUUUGAAAUGGUCAAUUGUUCACAGUGAUUUUUGGCUGUUAUGAAUAAAGCUGUUAUGAACAUAUGUGUAAGUCAUUGCAUGGACAUAUAUUUUCAUUUCCCUUUGGCAAAUACCUUGGAAUGGGAAUUGUUAGAUCACGUAAUAUGUAUAUAUUUACAUUUAUGAGAAACUGCCAAACUUUCUGAAAUGGUUGUCCUGUUUUACACUCCUGCCUGUAAUGCAUGAGAAUUCUAGUUGAUUCAUAUGGACACCAACACUUAGUAUUAUUAGUCCUUUCACUUUUAAUCAUUCUAGUGGAUGUGCAGAGAUAUUUCAUUGUGGUUUUAAUUUGCAUUUCCAGGUAACUGUUGAUAAUGAGCAUCUUCUUAUGUGCUCAUUGGUCAUUCAAAUAGCUUAUUUUGUAAAGUGUCUUUUGCUCAUUUUGAAAUUGUAUUGUUUGACUUAUUGAGUUGUAGUGUUCUUUAUAUAUUUUGGAUACAAGUCCUUUGCCAUGUAUGUAAAUUGUAAAUAUUUUCUCCCAGCCUGUGCUUUACGUUUUCAUUUUUUCAGCAGUAUUUUUCAGUAAACAAGAGUUUAAAGUCCA
rnacentral:lncRNA from 10 species